GAUGAACGCUGGCGGCGUGCCUAAUACAUGCGAGUCGAGCGAACAGACGAGGAGCUUGCUCCUCUGACGUUAGCGGCGGACGGGUGAGUAACACGUGGAUAACCUACCUAUAAGACUGGGAUAACUUCGGGAAACCGGAGCUAAUACCGGAUAAUAUAUUGAACCGCAUGGUUCAAUAGUGAAAGACGGUUUUGCUGUCACUUAUAGAUGGAUCCGCGCCGCAUUAGCUAGUUGGUAAGGUAACGGCUUACCAAGGCAACGAUGCGUAGCCGACCUGAGAGGGUGAUCGGCCACACUGGAACUGAGACACGGUCCAGACUCCUACGGGAGGCAGCAGUAGGGAAUCUUCCGCAAUGGGCGAAAGCUUGACGGAGCAACGCCGCGUGAGUGAUGAAGGUCUUCGGAUCGUAAAACUCUGUUAUUAGGGAAGAACAAAUGUGUAAGUAACUAUGCACGUCUUGACGGUACCUAAUCAGAAAGCCACGGCUAACUACGU
rnacentral:rRNA from 1 species